CUGCCAAAGAAUGAGGAUAUUAGUGAAGAUGACACUGAUGUGAAGGGGGCAGAUUUCCCAAAUGUGGAGCCCAUGCAAAUGCCUGAAGCAGGGCCUGAAAUGAAAGCUGAUACCCAGGAACUGGCUCAGCCACAACCUGAGGGUCAAAAGGAAGAUGGUCCUGUUGGGAGGCAGUGAAUUUUUAGAUCUAAAGCCCAUUAAAAUGCCAGAAGUAGGUGAAGGGCACAGAUUUAAACAAAGACAAGCUGAAACCUUGCAAACUGCUCUUAGGUUACCUAUUUGACUAUUAAAAUUCUCAAUAAAGUUUUAAACUAUCCAAAAAA